AGGGUGUAAACGCUGCAGACUUGGUGUUGGAAGCCCUUUGGGGGCAUUCAGUGCCGGAGAGAAGUUGUUAAGUCUGCUACUUGGGGAGUACGUCCGCAAGGAUGAAACUUAAAGGAAUUGGCGGGGGAGCACCGCAACGGGAGGAGCGUGCGGUUUAAUUGGAUUCAACACCGUAAAACUCACCAGGGAAGACUGUUACAUGAAGGCCGAGAUGAAGACUCUGCCAGAUUUUCAGAGAGGAGGUGCAUGGCGUCAGUGAC
rnacentral:rRNA from 1 species